CAAGUUAAUCUCCAAGCCCAGUGGUUAGAUGGUUAAAUUGGGCUUGAAGAUUAAUUUAGA
rnacentral:pre_miRNA from 1 species